rnacentral:rRNA from 1 species
CUACGUGCCAGCAGCCGCGGUAAUACGUAGGGCGCGAGCGUUGUCCGGAAUUAUUGGGCGUAAAGAGCUUGUAGGCGGUUUGUCGCGUCUGCUGUGAAAGGCCGGGGCUUAACUCCGUGUAUUGCAGUGGGUACGGGCAGACUAGAGUGCAGUAGGGGAGACUGGAAUUCCUGGUGUAGCGGUGGAAUGCGCAGAUAUCAGGAGGAACACCGAUGGCGAAGGCAGGUCUCUGGGCUGUAACUGACGCUGAGAAGCGAAAGCAUGGGGAGCGAACAGGAUUAGAUACCCUGGUAGUCCAUGCCGUAAACGUUGGGCACUAGGUGUGGGGGACAUUCCACGUUUUCCGCGCCGUAGCUAACGCAUUAAGUGCCCCGCCUGGGGAGUACGGCCGCAAGGCUAAAACUCAAAGAAAUUGACGGGGGCCCGCACAAGCGGCGGAGCAUGCGGAUUAAUUCGAAGCAACGCGAAGAACCUUACCAAGUCUUGACAUCCUUUGACCACUCUAGAGAUAGAGCUUUCC